rnacentral:rRNA from 1 species
AUACGUAGGGGGCGAGCGUUGUCCGGAAUGAUUGGGCGUAAAGGGCGCGUAGGCGGCCCGGUAAGUCUGGAGUGAAAGUCCUGCUUUUAAGGUGGGAAUUGCUUUGGAUACUGUCGGGCUUGAGUGCAGGAGAGGUAAGUGGAAUUCCCAGUGUAGCGGUGAAAUGCGUAGAGAUUGGGAGGAACACCAGUGGCGAAGGCGAUUUUAUGGAUUGUAACUGACGUUGAGGUGUGAUGUUGUGGGGAGAAAACAGGAUUUGAUACCCUGUUAGUCCACGCCGUAAACGAUGAAUACUAGGUGUAGGGGGUAUCGACUCCCUCUGUGCCGCAGGUAACACAAUAAGCAGUCCGCCUGGGGAGUACGGCAGCAAGGUUGAAACUCAAAUGAAUUGACGGGG